UCCUCUACCGUCCCCGUCACCUCCGGCCUCAACUACAACACCUCCGAGCCCCUCUCCCGGAUGAACUAUGUUCUCUGGAGAGCCCAAGCGCGAUCCCAGAUAAUGGGCGCCGGCUUGUUUGGCUAUUUAGAUCAAACCCUACAGGAGCCUCCCAAAACCAUCACUGCCAAAGACAAAGAUGGCAAGGACCAGGUGAUUCCAAACCCUGCCUAUGCCCCCUGGCUGAUCCAGGAUCAACAAAUCGUCGCUUAUCUCCUCUGCAACUUGUCCAAAGAAGUCCUUGUCCAAGUUGCCUCGCUUGAAUCCUCCAAUGCGAUAUGGGCUGCACUGGCGGCUAUGUUCUCUGCCGUCUCGCUGUCCCGCAUCAACAACAUCCGAUCUGCGCUAACCAACGCGUAG
rnacentral:rRNA from 1 species